CUCGCGUGCCCUAACCGCUCCUAGCCGGUCUCCUUUCUCCUCCCACGCAUACAAAAAACUGAGCCAUCGCCGAUCCCCUCUCUUCCUUGCUUCUCUUUUCCUCUUCUCCGAUCGCGCCGCACCUCUUCCCAAUUCUCCUCUCUUCCCCGACGCCACCUCCUCUCCCUCUGCCCUAAUCUGAGCUGCGCACAUGCCUUAGCGUUUGCCGACGCCACCCCGAUCUCCGACACCAGUGAUCGACGGUUGCCGCUGUCCGUGAGCCCUAGCCCCGGCCGACCCACGACUCCCUUCUUCCCUCUGUGUAGCCACCGGUCACCACAACCGACGUCGAUCCCUCCACCUUAGCGUCGCCACCCUUCUCCUCUUCGGAUCUGUGCGUCGACGCUGAUCACCAACCAUAGGAACACCAGCGUCGAUCGCCACCUUGUCACCCGGGUUCCACCUCCUCUCUGCCUUGCUUUCGUUCCCCGUUGUUGUGUUGUUGGCGCACUGUGCCCUAGAUCACCGGAAGCCGAGAGCUGGAGAAGGUGACAGCGAGCAGCAGUAAUUCGGCUGUGUGAUUGAAGGUCUCCAGCAACAGCUACUCCUUCUAGCAGCACCAUCCCUAGUUGUGGGUCAACAGUGGUUGCGAAUUUAGGACUUUGAUUCGAGACGGGCAUCUCGACGAAGGAUUUCUGGAUUCGAUUUUCUAUUGAAGCGGG